rnacentral:rRNA from 1 species
GGUCGCCAACGAGUGGCGGACGGGUGAGUAACACGUAGGUAACCUGCCCAGAAGCGGGGGACAACAUUUGGAAACAGAUGCUAAUACCGCAUAACAACGUUGUUCGCAUGAACAACGCUUAAAAGAUGGCUUCUCGCUAUCACUUCUGGAUGGACCUGCGGUGCAUUAGCUUGUUGGUGGGGUAAUGGCCUACCAAGGCGAUGAUGCAUAGCCGAGUUGAGAGACUGAUCGGCCACAAUGGGACUGAGACACGGCCCAUACUCCUACGGGAGGCAGCAGUAGGGAAUCUUCCACAAUGGGCGCAAGCCUGAUGGAGCAACACCGCGUGAGUGAAGAAGGGUUUCGGCUCGUAAAGCUCUGUUGUUAAAGAAGAACACGUAUGAGAGUAACUGUUCAUACGUUGACGGUAUUUAACCAGAAAGUCACGGCUAACUACGUGCCAGCAGCCGCGGUAAUACGUAGGUGGCAAGCGUUAUCCGGAUUUAUUGGGCGUAAAGAGAGUGCAGGCGGU